GUACACAAAAAUGCACAUACUGUGAGCUCGAUGAGUAGGGCGGGACACGUGGUAUCCUGUCUGAAUAUGGGGGGACCAUCCUCCAAGGCUAAAUACUCCUGACUGACCGAUAGUGAACCAGUACCGUGAGGGAAAGGCGAAAAGAACCCCGGCGAGGGGAGUGAAAAAGAACCUGAAACCGUGUACGUACAAGCAGUGGGAGCCUCUUAAUGGGGUGACUGCGUACCUUUUGUAUAAUGGGUCAGCGACUUAUAUUCUGUAGCAAGGUUAACCGAAUAGGGGAGCCGAAGGGAAACCGAGUCUUAACUGGGCGUUAAGUUGCAGGGUAUAGACCCGAAACCCGGUGAUCUAGCCAUGGGCAGGUUGAAGGUUGGGUAACACUAACUGGAGGACCGAACCGACUAAUGUUGAAAAAUUAGCGGAUGACUUGUGGCUGGGGGUGAAAGGCCAAUCAAACCGGGAGAUAGCUGGUUCUCCCCGAAAGCUAUUUAGGUAGCGCCUCGUGAAUUCAUCUCCGGGGGUAGAGCACUGUUUCGGCAAGGGGGUCAUCCCGACUUACCAACCCGAUGCAAACUGCGAAUACCGGAGAAUGUUAUCACGGGAGACACACGGCGGGUGCUAACGUCCGUCGUGAAGAGGGAAACAACCCAGACCGCCAGCUAAGGUCCCAAAGUCAUGGUUAAGUGGGAAACGAUGUGGGAAGGCCCAGACAGCCAGGAUGUUGGCUUAGAAGCAGCCAUCAUUUAAAGAAAGCGUAAUAGCUCACUGGUCGAGUCGGCCUGCGCGGAAGAUGUAACGGGGCUAAACCAUGCACCGAAGCUGCGGCAGCGACACUAUGUGUUGUUGGGUAGGGGAGCGUUCUGUAAGCCUGUGAAGGUGUACUGUGAGGUAUGCUGGAGGUAUCAGAAGUGCGAAUGCUGACAUAAGUAACGAUAAAGCGGGUGAAAAGCCCGCUCGCCGGAAGACCAAGGGUUCCUGUCCAACGUUAAUCGGGGCAGGGUGAGUCGACCCCUAAGGCGAGGCCGAAAGGCGUAGUCGAUGGGAAACAGGUUAAUAUUCCUGUACUUGGUGUUACUGCGAAGGGGGGACGGAGAAGGCUAUGUUGGCCGGGCGACGGUUGUCCCGGUUUAAGCGUGUAGGCUGGUUUUCCAGGCAAAUCCGGAAAAUCAAGGCUGAGGCGUGAUGACGAGGCACUACGGUGCUGAAGCAACAAAUGCCCUGCUUCCAGGAAAAGCCUCUAAGCAUCAGGUAACAUCAAAUCGUACCCCAAACCGACACAGGUGGUCAGGUAGAGAAUACCAAGGCGCUUGAGAGAACUCGGGUGAAGGAACUAGGCAAAAUGGUGCCGUAACUUCGGGAGAAGGCACGCUGAUAUGUAGGUGAAGUCCCUUGCGGAUGGAGCUGAAAUCAGUCGAAGAUACCAGCUGGCUGCAACUGUUUAUUAAAAACACAGCACUGUGCAAACACGAAAGUGGACGUAUACGGUGUGACGCCUGCCCGGUGCCGGAAGGUUAAUUGAUGGGGUUAGCGGUAACGCGAAGCUCUUGAUCGAAGCCCCGGUAAACGGCGGCCGUAACUAUAACGGUCCUAAGGUAGCGAAAUUCCUUGUCGGGUAAGUUCCGACCUGCACGAAUGGCGUAAUGAUGGCCAGGCUGUCUCCACCCGAGACUCAGUGAAAUUGAACUCGCUGUGAAGAUGCAGUGUACCCGCGGCAAGACGGAAAGACCCCGUGAACCUUUACUAUAGCUUGACACUGAACAUUGAGCCUUGAUGUGUAGGAUAGGUGGGAGGCUUUGAAGUGUGGACGCCAGUCUGCAUGGAGCCGGCCUUGAAAUACCACCCUUUAAUGUUUGAUGUUCUAACGUUGGCCCCUGA
rnacentral:rRNA from 1 species